AGGGAGCUUCCAGGAGGAUGUAUGCUUGAGACGGUUCUUCCAAGAGCAGGACUUAAGUUUUGGAGCCUCGGUCUUCCUAAAUAUCUCCCCCCCCCCAGACUCCACAGCUUCUGAUGAAUAGUUUGGCAGAGAGCCAGGAAUUGAUAUGUGUCAAGUGGCUGUCCUUGGAGAUAUUUAAUGUCAUGGGAGUGUCAAAGACUAUCAGGAGGAGUUUCUGUGAGAAUAACAGUGACCCUCUCAGUCCCCCCUCUUGAAGCACAUCAUUCUCAGCAGUGUCCUUUAGCAUACAUGAGUAUUUGAGGCCAAGAGGAAUACUUUCCUUGGCCAUGUAUCAAGAUGUCAGUUAAUUUGAACUUGAACACACAUGAUUAGGUAAUAGGGAUGUUAACCAAUUUGGACACCAGGCCUUACCUGUAUCACAUCAGACAUUAGCCGAGAAUGUACUGCAAUUCUUCUUGUUUGGGCCAUCUUUUGCAUUUCAGGGCAGUGGAAGGGCAGUUGGGAUUGUGCUAUAUGUUUAUGAUGGCAUAUGUGAUCAUAUGGUUAUGAUGGUUGGGAAUAGGCACACAGGUGAAAAUUAAGCUUAAAGAUAGCAUUCCUGCUCUAUCAGGGAUUCACUGUGUCUCUAGAUCUCUUCAUCUUCAGACUUCUAUUUAAGAUUAAGCAUGGUAUUUCCUGGUCCUGUGCCCUCAUAUAUGCCAGUUUACUUGUGUUUAUCUACCUACAGAGUUUGUUCUGAAGACAUCAUCACAACCUUCCACUACCACUGAUGAGGAAAAGAGAAUGAAGUGUUUGGAGAAGUUAAAAAUUGUUCUCCACAAGAUUUAAAAUGAGAGAGGAACUCUAGGAAAUCCCUUCCCAUUAGCCACGCAAAGAUCUAAGUAACAGCUCUGACGACUCACAUUUUUUGUUGACAGUCCUGAGAUGUCUGUUCAGCCAAUAUUUCCUCACAUCACAGGAAACUACUAGUCCAGGGUAUCCUAAUCGUCAAAAUCAUUUUCCUGAUUCCAUCUUAAACACAGAAUGUUAAAUUCACAUAGGAUUGAGACGGGGGCCAAGAUUCUACAAUUGAGAAUUCUUACCUAAGAAAAGGAGAAUAAUCUUCACAGGUUUAAGUUGGAGCCUGGACUGUGGCAGAGGUUCCUGAAAUCUUCUCGGCAAGCUAGUCUAUUCCUUCAAGAUCACACAGGGAGCUCAAGUCGAUCAGAUCCCUCCUUUUGUUUGCUGGCUCUGCUGUCCCUGUGUCCAUAAUAAUAAGCUUAAUCAGUACCAAAUGGAUCCAGUACCAAGGAGCAAGGAUGUGGCAUGUCCUAGGCUGGGGUUGUUCAGGAUCCAGUCAUAAUUCAUAUAAUCCUUGAAUCCUUAGUUCAGAAAGUUAUUUGAUCCUUGGACAAUGCCCUACAACAGAAUGAAUUUUGGGUCCAAAAUAUUCAUGAUGCAACACCAGCAAGUGAUGAUUGACCUACAGAAAAUGUGCUGACAGAUCAAUAAAAGGUGGUACAAAUCUAAUCAACUCAUAUGAGAAAAUCAGUGUUACUGGUGAAUAACUUACAGGAUUUUGACACCAGUACUAGUCACCGAAUGUGACAGCCCAUUCGUGUCUUUGAACUAAAGUGGAGAUCAGGUUCUAUACUGUUUGACGUGUACCAGGAAGCCUGGCUCUAAGGCAUGGUCUAGGAAUUUUACCUGUUUUAGUUAGUUUGACCAAAUGUAGAGGGGCUCUGAAUUUCUCCAAUCAUUGUCCUUCCCAACUUGGGAUCCUAUAGAUAGAAAAUGUGUGCCCCAUGAUGGAGUUAUCAAUCAAUUUUGAUGCUCUGGGGACCUGACUAACUAUAUAUAUAUGCAUUAUGUCCUCUUUUGGGACAAAUUUGAAUCCUUGGUAUUAGGCUUUUGAGAAGUACCCUGUGUCUUCAGGAAUUUGCUCCAUGGCUAACAUGGACUUGGACUACAGUCUGGGACUGUGUUUGGGUCAGGGCCUUAGACUGAGUAAUGUACUUUGAGAGUGGGAGAAAAAUGUAUCCUUGCUGGGAUUCACAAUUUUUUGUUUUUGGCUCAGCCUCAGGCACUGCCUGCUCCUAAGUGAGGCUAUUCCGAUGAAGCACAGUAUAAAGAGAGCAUGGGAUGAGAACAGAGAGCUUCUGUGGGAUCAGAUUGCACUGGAAGCAUCCAGUAAGGAAACAACCUGGUUCUGUGUGGAAGUCAAUAUGAAAAUCUAUGAUGUUUGUUCCAGGAAGGAUCAGGUAUGAUGAAUGAAGCAUCUGGGGUAGGUUUUCCUGUAAUCUAACAAAAAACCAAGUCAAACCAAUUCAACCAUUCUCCAACUUAUCCAGACACUCUUAUGUCACAUCAAGUUGUUCAUAUCUUUGAUCAUUUCCAAAACUUUCUCUGGUGUUAGCCUCAUGGAAGAAACUGGAGGAUUGACAGCCAAAUCCUCCUCAUCAACUGUAUACUACAUUUACUUAGGAGAGAUACAAUGAUCACACAUUGCGCACUUACAUGCCAUUAUGCUAGAGGCAUGCUAUGUGCUAGCAUAAUUUGUAGUGCACAGAAUUGAUUAAAGCCUAGUGAAAUUGCCUAAAGAAUGGUUAUCAUUUUCCAUUUGAUAGGGCUUCUGUCCUCUCAUGUCUUUUCCCCCUACAUUGCAAGAUGGUCCUUUCUGUGUACGAAGAUCCUGGUUCAUAGUGAUAGAGCUUGAGAAGCAGCCUGUCAGUCCUGUUUUAUGUAAGUGUUCUAGAGUUCUUUCCUAUAGCUUAUAUCCUGGAGCUGACUGGAUGAGGAGGGAUGUGAGAAAGGCUUUUCUCAGGUGAGGGUUUGUGUGACUGGAGACAAAAUUUUCUCUGAAGCAGAAAGAACUGGUCACUGAACAAAAUGCCUUCACUGAGAAGAUGCAGCAUUAUUUCAGUGUCACUGACAUGAGGUUAGAGCAAAGGAUGGGAUGACUCAAGUAGAUUACCUGUACCUGUAAACUGUCUCUUUGGGUGUCUGAUUUGCUACAUAGUUAGCAUCUGUUUGCUACCAGCAGCUCAGAAUAUUGUUCUGUUCCAGUUUAAAAGAAUUUCUGUCCUUGAAAUAUAUGUGAUCCCUAGAGAUUAUGGCUAUUGUGCACUGAUCCCUCCAGUCUGAGCUCUCUAGUAUUGUCUGAGCCCAUUGCUUGUAAGUCUCCCCAGAAACAGGUUUACAGUGGCCAUAAGCAAAGGAGGGAUAUUUUCCUUUUCUGCACGAGCAUCACCUUUCAAGUUCAAUGUCUCCCACUGGGAAGAUUUCCAUGCAGCAUAUGUUUGGUGAUUAUAAUAUCACUUGAAUGUUCAUAUAUUUCUUGAGAUAUGGUUUCUGCGGUUCUUCUCAAAUAUAGAGGUUGUCAAGUGUAACCUAUGCAGACUCCUGCACUCGUGACAUAACAACAGCCUUCACUUCAGUGGUGGCCAUUCUUUCAAGAAGGCCUUCAUUUGUUUUUAUCUCCUGAGCUGAUAAUUAGACAGUGCAACUUGAUUUAAAUUGUAGUAUGUAUGAACAUUUGGAGAAAUGUGAUUUUUCACACUUCAGUUUCCAGCAGUUUUUAAAAGUUGAAAUAAUAAACAGACCCGAGUGAUUUCUUACCCUUCUCGAUUGGGUAUGAGAUAAUGGCCUAAGCUGAAAGAUCAUACUGGAUUGUCCUGCUGAAUAGUGCUGCUGUAGGUUGGAUAACUGACGUGGCAGGUCCUCACCAGAUCUUUAUAUCUUCCUCUCCUACCUCUGAAAUACUCCAGCAGAAGAUUGAACAGGGCACAGUUCAGGACUACAGCUCUCAGUGACAAAACUGUAAACCAGGAGCCCUGAGUGUGCAAAGAAUGUCAACAACUCCCCCAUCUCAGUCUUAAUAACCAUGGCAAUCUUGGACUUACCCGCAAUGUCACCUGUUUAUAUUCAUCUUGAAGAGAUUGUUACCAUCUUGCCUGCCUUUCUGCUAUGUUUGCAAGGCCAGGAACAGGCUGCAAGUGCAUGUUGCAAAUUAUUCAACAAUUGGAUGCUGCUUAACUUACCUGUUUUGCUUGGGUCUUGGUUUGAAGUUUGAUUGCUUUAUUUGGUUUUGAUUAUUUUCAUUUAAAAUUUUGUCGUUUGUUAAUUUUUGUAAUUAAUUUGCUAUAUUCUUUAGAAUAUAUACACUGAAAUCUUUCACUCCCACUUUAAGAUGUUGUUGAAUAAAAUAAUGUGUGUUUAUGAAUAAAAAUGUGACCUUGAACCCUUCA